rnacentral:rRNA from 1 species
AACGCUAGCUACAGGCUUAACACAUGCAAGUCGCGGGGCAGCAUGAAUUUAGCUUGCUAAAUUUGAUGGCGACCGGCGCACGGGUGAGUAACGCGUAUCCAACCUUCCCCUGUCCACGGGAUAGCCCGUCGAAAGGCGGAUUAAUACCGUAUGAGGUCACAUGACGGCAUCAGAGUGUGACGAAAGGUUUGGCGGACAGGGAUGGGGAUGCGUCCGAUUAGCUUGUUGGCGGGGUAACGGCCCACCAAGGCAACGAUCGGUAGGGGUUCUGAGAGGAAGGUCCCCCACAUUGGAACUGAGACACGGUCCAAACUCCUACGGGAGGCAGCAGUGAGGAAUAUUGGUCAAUGGGCGAGAGCCUGAACCAGCCAAGUAGCGUGCAGGAUGACGGCCCUAUGGGUUGUAAACUGCUUUUAUGCGGGGAUAACGUGCACCACGUGUGGUGUAUUGCAGGUACCGCAUGAAUAAGGACCGGCUAAUUCCGUGCCAGCAGCCGCGGUAAUACGGAAGGUCCGGGCGUUAUCCGGAUUUAUUGGGUUUAAAGGGAGCGUAGGCCGCUGUUUAAGCGUGUUGUGAAAAACCGGGGCUCAACUCCGGUCGUGCAGCGCGAACUGGACGGCUUGAGUGCGCGGUAAGUGGGCGGAAUUUGUGGUGUAGCGGUGAAAUGCUUAGAUAUCACGAAGAACUCCGAUUG